rnacentral:rRNA from 1 species
AUGGACGCACGGAUGCAGCUGGUACUUCAGGUCGGAGCACUGAUAGCUGUGAUUCAGGCAUGGGUCAUGUUCAUGCACAAGAAAGUUGUUCGUCAUGCUGAGAGACUUGUCAUCAGAUAUGGUCCAAUGCUUAUGCAGGAGCAAGAGAGAAUCUCCAAUCUGAACUACAUAUACAACUGCAACGACACAGAGGCUCUGUGGAUGCUUAGAAUGAAAAGAGCACCAUUUGCCGGACUUGUUCAGACCUUCAGGUCCGGGCUGCUAGAAGAUAGCAUCCACACCAGUGGGGAUGAUCAAGUGGCCAUGUUCCUUCAUAUUGUUAGCCAUAACCAAAGGUUCAGGGUUAUCCACAACACGUUCAGGAGAUCAAUGGAGACCAUCUCAAGGUACUUCAAGCAAGUGUCCUAUGAUGUUGGGGAGUCCAGACGAGAGAUGAUAAAGUCACCAACUGACCAGACUCCUACCAUGAUUCACACAAGUCCAAGACGGUAUCCAUACUUCAAGGUGAGCACUGCAGUAUGUAUGUAG